GGCUGGUCCAAAAGUAGUGAGUUAUCUCACGUGAUUGUUCACAGUCAGUUACAGAUUGAACUCCUUGUUCUACUACUUUCCCCCCUCCUCACUACUGCACUUGACUAGUCUAAA
ensembl:misc_RNA Y_RNA Y RNA